rnacentral:tRNA from 1 species
UGCCGAAUAGCUCAGUGGGAGAGCGUUAGACUGAAGAUCUAAAGGUCCCUGGUUCGAUCCGGGUUUCGGCAU